rnacentral:rRNA from 1 species
AUUCCAGCUCCAAUAGCGUAUAUUAAAGUUGUUGCGGUUAAAAAGCUCGUAGUUGGAUUUCUGCCGAGGACGACCGGUCCGCCCUCUGGGUGAGUAUCUGGCUCGGCCUGGGCAUCUUCUUGGAGAACGUAUCUGCACUUGACUGUGUGGUGCGGUAUCCAGGACUUUUACUUUGAGGAAAUUAGAGUGUUUCAAGCAGGCUUACGCCUUGAAUACAUUAGCAUGGAAUAAUAAGAUAGUACCUUGGUCUAUUUUGUUGGUUUGCAUUCCAAGGUAAUGAUUAAUAGGGAUAGUUGGGGGUAUUCGUAUUCAAUUGUCAGAGGUGAAAUUCUUGGAUUUAUGGAAGACGAACUACUGCGAAAGCAUUUACCAAGGAUGUUUUCAUUA